CCUACGGGAGGCAGCAGUGAGGAAUAUUGGUCAAUGGGCUUACGCCUGAACCAGCCAAGUCGCGUGAGGGAAGACUGCCCUAUGGGUUGUAAACCUCUUUUGUCAGGGAGCAACGCCGGCUACGUGUAGCCGGACUGAGAGUACCUGAAGAAAAAGCAUCGGCUAACUCCGUGCCAGCAGCCGCGGUAAUACGGAGGAUGCGAGCGUUAUCCGGAUUUAUUGGGUUUAAAGGGUGCGUAGGCGGAAUGCCAAGUCAGCGGUAAAAUCGCGGGGCUCAACCUCGCUCCGCCGUUGAAACUGGCGUGCUUGAGUGGGCGAGAAGUAGGCGGAAUGCGUGGUGUAGCGGUGAAAUGCAUAGAUAUCACGCAGAACUCCGAUUGCGAAGGCAGCAUACCGGCGCCCAACUGACGCUGAAGCACGAAAGCGUGGGUAUCGAACAGGAUUAGAUACCCUAGUAGUC
rnacentral:rRNA from 1 species